GAACCUUCGGGUUAGUGGCGGACGGGUGAGUAACGCGUGAGAAUCUGCCCUCAGGAGGGGGAUAACGGCUGGAAACGGCCGCUAAUACCCCAUAUGCCGAGAGGUGAAAUGAAUUUCGCCUGAGGAUGAGCUCGCGUCUGAUUAGCUAGUUGGUGAGGUAAUGGCUCACCAAGGCUUCGAUCAGUAGCUGGUCUGAGAGGAUGAUCAGCCACACUGGGACUGAGACACGGCCCAGACUCCUACGGGAGGCAGCAGUGGGGAAUUUUCCGCAAUGGGCGAAAGCCUGACGGAGCAACGCCGCGUGAGGGAUGAAGGCCUCUGGGCUGUAAACCUCUUUUAUCAAGGAAGAAGAUCUGACGGUACUUGAUGAAUAAGCCACGGCUAAUUCCGUGCCAGCAGCCGCGGUAAUACGGGAGUGGCAAGCGUUAUCCGGAAUUAUUGGGCGUAAAGCGUCCGCAGGCGGUUUUGAAAGUCUGUUGUUAAAGCGUGGAGCUUAACUCCAUUUCAGUAAUGGAAACUACAAGACUAGAGUGUGGUAGGGGCAGAGGGAAUUCCCGGUGUAGCGGUGAAAUGCGUAGAUAUCGGGAAGAACACCAGUGGCGAAGGCGCUCUGCUGGGCCAUAACUGACGCUCAUGGACGAAAGCCAGGGGAGCGAAAGGGAUUAGAUACCCCUGUAGUCCUGGCCGUAAACGAUGAACACUAGGUGUCGGGGGAAUCGACCCCCUCGGUGUCGUAGCCAACGCGUUAAGUGUUCCGCCUGGGGAGUACGCACGCAAGUGUGAAACUCAAAGGAAUUGACGGGGGCCCGCACAAGCGGUGGAGUAUGUGGUUUAAUUCGAUGCAACGCGAAGAACCUUACCAGGGUUUGACAUCCUGCGAAUCCCUUGGAAACUUGGGAGUGCCUUCGGGAGCGCAGUGACAGGUGGUGCAUGGCUGUCGUCAGCUCGUGUCGUGAGAUGUUGGGUUAAGUCCCGCAACGAGCGCAACCCACGUCUUUAGUUGCCAGCAUUUAGUUGGGCACUCUAGAGAGACUGCCGGUGAUAAACCGGAGGAAGGUGUGGAUGACGUCAAGUCAUCAUGCCCCUUACAUCCUGGGCUACACACGUACUACAAUGCUACGGACAAAGGGCAGCAAACUCGCGAGAGCUAGCAAAUCCCAUAAACCGUGGCUCAGUUCAGAUCGUAGGCUGCAACUCGCCUACGUGAAGGAGGAAUCGCUAGUAAUCGCAGGUCAGCAUACUGCGGUGAAUACGUUCCCGGGCCUUGUACACACCGCCCGUCACACCAUGGAAGUUGGCCACGCCCGAAGUCGUUACUCCAACCCUUGUGGAGGAGGAUGCCGAAGGUGGGGCUGAUGACUGGGGUGAAGUCGUAACAAGGUAGCCGUACCGGAAGGUGC
rnacentral:rRNA from 1 species